rnacentral:rRNA from 1 species
UUUGCGGUGUGGGAUGGGCCCGCGGCCUAUCAGCUUGUUGGUGGGGUGAUGGCCUACCAAGGCGACGACGGGUAGCCGGCCUGAGAGGGUGUCCGGCCACACUGGGACUGAGAUACGGCCCAGACUCCUACGGGAGGCAGCAGUGGGGAAUAUUGCACAAUGGGCGAAAGCCUGAUGCAGCGACGCCGCGUGGGGGAUGACGGCCUUCGGGUUGUAAACCCCUUUCACCAUCGACGAAGGUCC